AGUGAACGCUGGCGGUAGGCCUAACACAUGCGAGUCGAACGGCAGCACAGUAAGAGCUUGCUCUUACGGGUGGCGAGUGGCGGACGGGUGAGGAAUACAUCGGAAUCUACUUUUUCGUGGGGGAUAACGUAGGGAAACUUACGCUAAUACCGCAUACGACCUACGGGUGAAAGCAGGGGAUCUUCGGACCUUGCGCGAUUGAAUGAGCCGAUGUCGGAUUAGCUAGUUGGCGGGGUAAAGGCCCACCAAGGCGACGAUCCGUAGCUGGUCUGAGAGGAUGAUCAGACACACUGGAACUGAGACACGGUACAGACUCCUACGGGAGGCAGCAGUGGGGAAUAUUGGACAAUGGGCGCAAGCCUGAUCCAGCCAUACCGCGUGGGUGAAGAAGGCCUUCGGGUUGUAAAGCCCUUUUGUUGGGAAAGAAAAGCAGCAGGUUAAUACCCCGCUGUUCUGACGGUACCCAAAGAAUAAGCACCGGCUAACUUCGUG
rnacentral:rRNA from 1 species